AGGGACUGAGCAGCGGAAACACCACCGCCCUCCGGCCAAACUCGUGAGGACUGAUUGCGGGGGAACUGCUGCUCCAGAUGUUGCACUAGAGGCGCUGCAAGUGUGAGCAGGUGGCAGUGGACCUACACCACAGGUUGUAGCCGAUGUUCUCAACAUUUCUAUUGAAAUUUCCUUAUCACCACUUGCAAGAGGUGCCCCAGAACCUCAUCCUUGUGGUAGCGAGCACGAUGUGCUGUUUUCUGUGACUACUGGUAACACUCAUCCUGCAGAUAUAAGCUGUUGUUCACCAGGGAACUUUGGCAAGAGAAUUGGCUAGAUCAGCAAGUCCACUUCCAUGUGGAAAAACACUUGAAACUCAUCUCUGCUGAUGGGUAUAAACAAAUCUCAAGGUCACAGACUGGUAGGACUGUUGCUCACUGAAGUCAGUUGGAAGGCCUGCCUGUAGGGAGAGGAUCCUUACACUACAGGAUUAAUGGGAAAAACAUGAACUUUACUAUGAAUUUCUCAUAAAAUUUUGAUUUACAAUUUACUUUCUCAAGAUUCAUUUUGAAUUACAGAGAUCAUCUUCUACUGUAACCUCCUACAGAAGGAUUUCAAAAUGAAUGCACUGUCUGUAGGGCAGGGGUGGGAUGAAUACCUGCUUCUCUAAGUACCUGCUUCAAGUCAUCUUUCACAUUUUCUUCCUGGAA